UCUCUGUCUCAUUAUUGAAGCUUGCAUACAUUCUAUUUUUGUACACACUAUUUUCCAAUUAUCAUCGUUGAGACACCACUACCAUAACUCUACACAGAAUAACAGAGUUACAGGAAUUCCUAAGAAGAGACAUAAGGAGACAAGAGGGCCUGGACUCUUCCAUCUGUUCACCAGUAUGCACUCUACAAGCAACCCACAGAGUUCUUAAGACACAGAAGAAUGAAGCCACCCCAGAGGGGCAGUUACAGUGCUUUAGUGCCCAACAGAUACAGCAAAUCCCAUGAACCAGGCUGACAGAAGCACGUCAGAUGACCUAAGAAGGACAUGUGGAUCUCCGAGAAGUUGCUCUCAGUCUCAAAGAUUUUUUGAGUUAUCCUCGGAAAACCACAUAAUCUUUCCUGACUCCACCUAUCUGUUGUAAGUUUUGUAAGCUCUUCUGACCUCUGGAAUUUUAAGCGCAUCACUUCUCUACAGCAGCAGCAAGAGGGAGAGCUGGGAUUUGCAGGCGGAUGAGAAUCUGGAAAGAGAGUUUCCUUCUAGUUCAGAAGACAGCUGGGUCCCUUCUGCAACAUAUUUCUUUGGUGACUGGAUGCUUCUAGGAACUAACAUGGAAAUAUAAAGUCACGGUGAACCUUGUGACCAUUUCAAAUGUAAGCCAAGGACAGAAAUGGAGAUACUGCAAAGAGAGAGAGAGAGAGAGAGAGAAGUACCAUCAAAGGGAAGGAACGCUCCUGGCUUUUGCAAAGAUCUCCAAAUUCACCACAAGGUUUUAUCCGCACCUAUCAAUUUCAGGUUAAGUAAUGUGAGCUACUUAUCUUUGCAUUAUAAUGCAGAGUUUUCUCAAAGAAACAAAUGGCCCUCUCCCGCAAAUACUCAGACAUCUCCUUAGUUAAUUCCUGCACUCCUCAUCAGACCGCAGAUGUAUGCUGUCCAGCAAAGUGCUAGCUUAUUAUGUGCUCGAAACUGACUUCAGAUAAACAUACUAUAAGAAAAUGUAAGUCCAUUUUUUACCUGAAAAACAGUGGUUUCAUUUUCUUCCCUUGCCUGGGCUCAGUAUCUUGUCCUUAGCAGUUGUUAUGUUCUUGUGACAACACGAAAGCUAAAUAUUAAUGUACUAUAUUCCGGACUGUGUCUCACAAUCGCUCACUAAGUGACGGCGCACACUCCCUGUUGACACAGCGUCACUAAUGGCCAGUCAAGUUACCUGAUCAUAUCUAGUUAUGUCUGUUUGAAACCUUAUCCCGUUUUUCAGGCAGGAUAUACUUUCAGACAUCUGGACAUGUUCAUGAUUUUUCUUAUCACGUUUUCUUCUAAUUCUAUGCUUACUUUUCCAAGUUCGAGCAUGUUCUCGUAAAAUCGAGAAAGAAUACUUACACACCUCUGGUUUUGCUUCCCCAAAACUCGCGACCUCGCGCUGGGGCACACGAGCCCAGGGGAGGCCCCCGGCGGUGGACGGCACCCGAGCCCCGGCAGAAAUCCCGGGCUGACGUCCCCCCCGAGCUUGGAGGCCGCGUUUCCCGAGCGGACAGGCCCUGCACCGCCCGGCCCCACCGCCGUCGCCCGCGAGAGGAGCCCCGGCACGGCGCUGCCUGCGUGCAGCCGCGGUUCCCGUGUGCUUGGCAGCCGGGAGGACAGCGAGCAGGCCAUCCGCCACCCUGGGUAACCGGUCGCUCAGGCACCUGAAAUCGGAGCUGGUCGCCUUUCCGAAAGAGAGUCUAAUUUAACUAGAAGUGCUUGGGGCUGAUACAGAAAUUUUGGGGCAAAACAGUGUGGCUGCUGUUAUGCAGCAGGUCAGUCUAAAUGCCGGUCUCUUUUCAUCUUACGUGCAUACCCGGUAGGCUAUAACUGCGUACUAACUCUUCCUUUUAUUUUGCAGGGCUGAGCAUUUCUGGGUAGAGCUAUCCUUCUGCCUCCCAAGUAGCUGGUCAGAAAGAGAUCUUAAAACACAUUGUUUCACGUAAAAAAAAAUCCCAUGUUCUGCUUCCAGCAGCAGCCGCAGCAGCUGAUGUGGUAGGAGAGAGCUGCCCAGGUCUUCCUUGGGUUAUGGACGGGUUUCCUGCACAGCUCGCUAGGUCAGGGCAGGCCCGCACACUUGCAUCAGUGCCAGGGAUGUUGCUGCUGAUCGGGUGCACUGAACCGCGGUAGAUCAGCCGCAUCCAUGUCAGAGGAGCAUGUCCAGGACCAGAUACAGUUAACAUGGCUCUAUUUGUGGAACAAAUGGCACCAGAGAGAGAUUUAUAAUCAUUUCAAGAACAGACGAAACAGUAUGAACAGAUGGAGCCCCCAAAAUGCUAAGAUACUCUUUACAUACAAAUACCUUCAGUGGCAAGAAAAAAAGAGAAAUUCAGAAAAUAAUAGAAUGAAAUAUAACAAACAUUUUAUUCUGAGUGGAGCCUUCCUGCAUUUCCUAUGGGAUUCAGCUGAGCGGGGGAAGAUGAAAAAAAAAGGAACAGAGACUGCUUGCAAGACAGCACAAACCUUGAGUGCCAAGAACAUGCUCCAGAUUUUUUUAAAGAUGCCUGGCUCUUAUCUGAGCCCUGAUUCACCACAGUUUAUUCUCAGAAUUACUUAGAAUUCAAGGACCUUGCUCCUCCUGGGCUAAUGGGUUAUGUUCAGCACCAAAACUCAUGAGACAAAUAGCAGCUUGAUUAUUCAAUCCAGACUGUCUCUGGUGGUUAAUGGAAAUAAAAAUAGCAACAGCAACAAUUACAAUCUACGUUUGAUAGGUGAAAAGAAUUUUUCUUUUAACUGCAUAGUCCAGGGCUGUGCAUAGGGAGGAGGCGCCCAUAUAAAUGAGGGGUUGUGUUGUUUGUGGCAGAAAAGAUUAGCAUGCACAUGACUGAAGAGGAGGAAAGGGAAAACACUGUAGAGGUGAAGAACAGUGGUAAAUGUGUAAUGCAGCACUGAAAAGAUGCAAGAGAAAAACAUACCAAACUAGAAGUCUCCUCCUAUCUAGAGUCCUGCUAUUCCAUAGCAGGAAUUAAUUUGUAGGGAAGAAGCUGCUAUUCGCAUAUCACGGGCUGAUAAUGCUAGCAAGAAAAAUGCUAAAGUGAUAUGAUUACCAUAAUUACUAUAUUUCCUCAAAAAAUGUGGUGGUUUUCUACGCUGAAUUUUGGUCAAGCAGCUGUUACCUGCAUUUGUGCCUGGUGCCAAUCAGGAGCUAAUGCCACAUACUGCAGGUAUACAGUGCAAAUGCAGUGUAUUUCCCACUUCAGAUGAACCAGUCCUACAUCAUGUCAGAGCACAUUGCAAACACAGGAGCACAUAGUAUUAUUCACAGCUUCUGCUACAAGUCUUUUGUGUAUAGCUAACCAAAAAUAAAAUGUCAAACCAACCCUGGCAAUUUAUCCCGCUCUGAUGGCAAACUAAGCCAGGGUAAAGGGGUCUAAAAGGAAGGUUUCUACAACAAGCCUAAAUUAGGGUGAAAAGAGGCAAGUCAAAGAAAUAAAGAGGAACUUUUUAAGCCCAAUUCAUCACCAAAUGCAGCACAGCUGUGUGUAGGAGGUAUCAAAUUAGGGUAAUCAUUCCCAAGCCCCCUUGACUUUGUGUCUGGCUGUUGCUGCUGAGGGGAAGGGGCUCUGCCAGCUGGAGGAGGCUGUAAAGCCCUGCUGAAACAGGUAUCUCUGGUUUUGGAUAAGGCUUAAAGCAAAACAGCCUAAAUGACUUGCUCAGCUGAUGGAACCUAGCAGUCCAGUCUCUUGCCUUCCCCCUCUGAUUUGCUGCGGUGACUGGUCUGGCUCAGUAGAUUUGGUUGAAAUGUUCAUUCAAAACUGACUUUAGUUUAAAAAUUGCAAGAAGGAGACACUUUAAGCCAAAAUAUUUGUGAUUUUUUUUAACCUUUAAAAUGUUUCACCUGUAAAGUACACAAAACAGUUGAAAAACUAAGUUUGGGUUCAAGUUCUGAUUCACCCCCAGGUUCUUAUUCAUUCCUUCCCCCAUUUUUUUUUCCUUCUUUUUUUUUUUUCAUUGUAUCAUUGAAAAGGAAGGGGAGGCAAAGGGAAAAUAAAAAUAAUGGAAAAAAUGCUGAAAUAUCCAUAUACUAGGUUUUGUCUUUUUGUAUAAGCAUGUGGCAAAGUUGGCUUUAUUUCUUGAAGCAUUUCAUAAGAAAGAACAUUUUUAGCUGUACGCUUUUUUCACUCUGGUGUCUCCUACUGCUCACUCAUCAGAUUAAGGUUAAUAUUUGCAUGACUGGGGAAUGAAAGGAGUGUUCUUAGUAGAAUUAGCAUAGCGGAUGCAUUGUCACUCGGAUAUUGAAGGAAAGGUAGCGUGCGAUCAUUUUGUCUUGGGCAGGGAAGAUAAAUGUUUACCGCUUGUGUGCCACUAGAUGCAAAGGACUGCUCUGAAAAUGACAGUGGAGGAAAGGGAGUUUUGUGCUUGUGUCACAGGAGGAAAAGGAUUAGUGUGCAAAUGAUGCUGGAGGAAGAGGAUUAGGCUGUGUAUGACACAGAGAAGAGAGGUCAUUGUAGAUGCGUUGUGAGAAGAGCAAGAUAGUGCGACACAGGGUGGAAAGGACUCUGGAACUCAAAAAGAAAACGAAAAACGAAGAGGAACUACUGUUGUGCAGGUGUGAUUGGAAGAAAAGUUUUCUUGUGGGCAAAAACAAGUAAAUAAAUAAAUGUCUGGAUUGCUAAGCAAAGGAACACAAUUUAUUUCACAGCCAAGCACCUAAAUUUUUCAGGAAAAAAAAAAAAGGCCUCAACUCCACAGAGUGCUGUACCACUUACUGGUUUAGAGGAAUAUACCAUUUUCACAUGUAUUUUGAACAGUAGUUGAAUAACAGUAUCUCAGAGAGACUCUGUCAUCUUGACCUCAGCUUCGCUACCAACAAGGAGUUGGCCCCUUCUGAGAUUUUUUUUGUCCCUUUAAGGAAGAGUGCCUCACAAAUCACCAUAUCUUCCUCAAGGAAUAAGAAUUUUUUCCUCAAAGAUGCACAGAGUAAACCACAAGUAAGACAGGGUGCAACAUGCAAGCACUGUAGGUCUGGUGAGCUUCCAGUGCUUUUCUUCUUGGUUAGGAUUUCCAGUCUCCCUGCUCUAAGAUAGAAGGUGUCCAUCUACACAUUAACAGAGAAGCAGUGCAAGCCUAAGCAGAAGAUUUUAUGUUUCCUUAAAAAAAAAAAUCCCAUUCCUUCAGAAAAGUAACUAUGAAGCAAAAAGUUUGCACUCUCCUUAAGACACCGGGGAGCAGUAUUUCAGCCGUUCACUCUAUCCAAGUACAAAUUCACCUUUCCAUCACAUCGCAACACCAGCUGCCAUGCCUCUGCUUUUAACUACCUUUUUGUAAGGAAUUAUAGGUGAUGGCAUGUGUUUUGGGUUAAAGCUGUGGUGCACUGCUUUGUUUUUGUACAAUAAGAAAGAAUAAGGAAGAUGUGAAAAUGUGAAUUAUUUCUACUUUAAUUAUGGCAGGUUCUGGUUCAAGACUUCCCCAUUGUUUUGGGGGUGGUUGGCUGGUUUUCACACAAUGAUCCUGACAUACAGUUACUCAUACCAUGUCACCCUCAAACGCAGUGCAACACUUUGUACCAGGAACGGCAUUUCAGAGAGGGUGAAGCUGGGGUCAAAUGCAUUCCUGCUAAUUGCACUGAUUGCAAGAGGUAUUCCGUGACUGAGUUUCGUCUCUGAUGUUAAAGGAGGUAGCUGCUAAUUGCUUUUAAGGAAGACUCAGAAAAAGGAAUGGGAGCUGGACAGUAACUCCCAGCCCAAGUGUAUACACACACACGCACAGAUAAGCACUGCUAAUCUUUUUGGGAGUGUGGUAUGUGGGGAGUACAUGCAGGUCAAACUAUGCAGGGGCUUGGAAGGGGAUACAUGAACAACCAGUGAUGGAAAAUGUGUUUCUGUAUGUCCAUCCAUUUUGCGCUGUCGGUACUGACCGUGUGGAAGACCACUGAUAUAUUGAUGUGAUUUCUUCAAAGCUGCAGUUAGUAAAGUGUCAGGGCUGCUGGCUAACUUUUGCAGUGUUUUUACAGUCUCUGUGACUGCCUGUCUGCUAUUACUGUGACCCUAUCAGGUAGCAUGUAGUUCUGCUUCCUGAUCUGGCUUUCUCUUAUAAUUUUCCUGUUUCCUAUAAUCUCUCCUUGAAUUGAAAAUUUCACAACUAGGCAAGGAGAACGCUUCAAAGUCUAGUUCAUGUAGAAUAUCACACAGCAGUCCUGGCUCAUUGGAGUGCGAUGUCACAAGGAAAACCCAUUUAGGAUUUUGAUAUAUUAGGAAAAUAUAGCAUAUAUUAAAAUAUAGGUAUAUAUUUAUAUAUAGGAAAAUAUUAGGCUAUAUUAGGAAAUUUAGGAUUUUAUAUAUUAGAGUAAGCCUCACCUCAGGAUCCUAUUGUAAUUAUUUCCUUUUUUUCCACUUUUCCCAAAAAUGCUUGCUCCCAGAACCUUUCCUACUCAGCGGUCCAAAUUCUGAAAACCCUAUUUGCCUGGAGCAAUAUCUUUGUUUUAUAAAUAUUUCUAUUGGCUGAGUCAUCCAGUACCUUACUUCUCAGAAGAGUGCAGUCCUGCAGAGGAAGGGAAAUUGCAUAAGGUUUGGGAAGGUUUGUCAGCUUGCUAGAAGAGUAAGUGUAUGGGGAAGAUAUAGGGCAAUGUAUUUACUAAGCUUCCUCAAGCUUGGUCUGAAAUUCAUGAAUGAGGACAGCUAGAAACCUAAGACUUGGUUUGCAAUAACCUGAGAAACAUGAAUAUUUUGCAGAGCUUUUACUAGUGGCCACCUUCGCAGAGGGAGGAAGUUGCAGUCUAUCUUGUUUGAAGAGUUAUUCUAUCCUUGCAGAAAGAACGGAGGCCAUAAAUAAGAUUUUGUCUGACAGGAGUUUUGUUUUGAGUUGUUGGGAGGGCACAAUAAAACUGUAAGGCCGAUUUUCUGCACAGAGCUCCAGCUGUCAUUCUCCUUUGAUUGCUAUAUUUUAUCAGUGGGCAUGUGAAGGCCAGGCUCUCGAUUGAAGCUCUUGGCUUUUGACAGAGUGCAACUCCUCAUCCUCAAGUAUGCCUCUGUAAGUACAGUGAUUCCAAUACGCCUUUGCUGGAUUAGACAGUGAGGGAGAGAGGAAGGAAAUUAUCCUAGCAGUUAAAGUUCAGGGGUCUGAUUCACUGCUCAGCACAGUCAGGGACAGGCUCUCCAACGCCUUCAAGAGGAAAGGGACAGGCAUAAGGACCAGCAUGAGUCAGUGCAAUUCUGCCGUGCGCAAAGGAAGGGAUAGAGUAACGCUUGCUAAGAAUCGGAUUCUGAACAACCGGUCACGUUUGAAACAUACUUGUAACAGUUAAAGGUUACCUAAAAAAAGUGACUUAAAUAAGACUGACUUUAAUACUAUUCCUUAUAAAGGCUCUGCAAAAUAGCUACAGUGCACGUUGCAACCAUUCACCUGUGCUGGUGUGUGGACUGAGCUCAGGCUUCAUUAUACACUUCCCAAAAGACAGGCAGUAACUGUGGAGCAAGUUUUGUACUGGAAUCAGGAGAAACUCCAAGUUUUGACCUGAAGGUUGUCUAGUUUAGAAGGAGCCAAAGUUCAUUUGAACCUGGUAUCUAUAAGCAAAAUCAACAUAAUCCUCUCCCAAACAGAAAAUGUGAUUACCAAUUGCAUGCAGAUGGCAUCAGCCUUUCAUUAUGAGUGCAGUGACAAAUACUUGAGGCAAUGUUUCUGAUGAUACUGCUGAGCAUCCAUAGCUGGACAAGAGUGGUUGGCUCUGGCCCCAUAAAAGCUGUGCUCGGAUGUUUGAGUACUGGGGUCAGCUCACUUAGCGUCGAAUCUGCUUUUUACUAAUGCUUUCUCCUUCUGCAGAUAGGAACACUAAAGGCAGGCAGCAGUAUGGCUGCUUUUCUGUUAGGUAAAAGCCUGAUGAGGUGCUUGCUGGCAACAAGGCUGAGCAUGACCUGGUUAAAGGGGAUCGUGUCACCCAGAGUUUUUCCCUGAUUUUGUUCUUCCCAUGGGCUGGUAUUUUGCAACCCAAGGUUUCAGUUCAGAUCCACUGCUCAGAGACACAUUUGAAAACAAGGCAGAGGGAAAUAAUUUUUCUCGAUAACUCACCUCUGUUGUCAGGGAUUCUAUUUUCUCUCCUAAAGAUGAUGAAAUUGCUAACCUCAAAAGCUCCCUGCCCUUCAUUUAGGGAUUAGUGACUUCAUCAACACAGGCAGAACAAACACAGCUCUGAACUUAGAGGUUGGCAGGUUCAAAGCUUUCCAGUCCAAGGUGAGAAAAUAAGGAAACACUUCCAGCAGUGAUAGUAUUUGAGCCUUUUAAUAAAUGAAGGGACCUACAAGCUGAUGAUAAAGGAUUUGGAACCUAUUGGCCAAGCUCAUCGCUGGUGUAAGCCUGCUGUUUUUCCAAUCCAAACGAUGGAAAAGGGGCAAACAAGAAAUCCUUGGUAGCAAAUGUGAUUAGAUGAAGCAAACAGUAAAGACUCCACUGUAACUGCAGUUUAUCAUGCAAUUAGUUUCUUAACAGCUUCACCAUUCAGAUGGCCUCUUCCUUGGCACAGUGCCAUGCCAGCCAAAUAAAUCAGCUUUACAUACACAACCACCGAUCAGAUCUGCACCUCCAGACCUCAGGGGCUGAACUAGGAGGCUAAAUUGUAAGGGAGAAGGAAAAGGCGCCUGGAUAGGAGGGUAGAAACAGGACAAGAAGAAAGGAGGAUGUAGCCAUAUAGCGCUGAACUAAUACUACGAGGUAUCCAAGAUCUCUACAGGAUCAAAAGAGCUUGUCGACAGCAUUCUGUGAGCCAAGGCCCUGCUAUCUCUGGCUCUAUCACCAAGGGCAAAGGGGCUCAUCUGGAAUAAUGGUGAAGAGGAAUGCAUAUUUAAUUAAUGAAAUCUCUGCCCCCCAAAUCAUUAGAGGGCCCAAAUCAUUAAGAUCCAACCCCGGCUGCCCCUAAUCAGCAAUAUUUCAGGCAUGCUGUGGCUGACUGUUUUGAGCAGGUAUGGCAUGUGGUGCUUCAUCAUUGCCAAGGUUGGGUAUGUCACUAACAAAGUAGAGUUGACUUUUGUGAUUGCUGUCUCGCACGUGAAGUGUUGUGAAUGGAGUAGUGAGCAGACGACUUCUCUGCUCACACGAAAGCUGCCGUCUUCAGAAGAUGACUGUUUGGAAAGAAAGCCAUCGUUCUGAAGCGGUGCAAAACUGAGACUACCAAGCUCUCAGUGAGAACACCUGCGGGAGACCCAGCGAGGAGUCGGUCACUGGCAGAGCACGUGGUAGCAGCCCCGGCGUGUGAAACCACGCACUGACCAAAUCCCCAUCAGGGCCAGGCCGGCAUACUCCGCGUGGUCAGCAACGUGGAGCCGCUUCCCGGGCAGCAGCUGCUCCCGGUUAGCGCAGCUGAGAUAAGGAGACAGCUCUCGUAGAUCUGAGGGGCCCUUAGGAGCAAUGAGUCGAGUCUGACCGAUACCUCCAGCAGCCUCCCAUCGCGACCCCUCCUCGGGGCUCCCGGGGCAGUCUGUAGUGUGAGUCCUGUAUUAAAUCUAACCUAUUUAACCCCUUAUGAACCUUGAGUGUCUCUCUCUGCCAGCAUCCGACCCUCUCUUGCCCACCCUGUGGUCACACCUGUAAACGUUAUUUUGUCAAAAAAAAUUUACACGCACAUCUGUCAGUUGUGCAAAAAGAAGCUUGCUGUAGAGAUGCUUAUUUUCUGAAAUGGGUCAGGUUCUAUUUCAACACUGUCAUCUCAAUAUUUAUUUUCUCUUAUAUGAUUUUAGAAGGUAUAGAAUAGAAAAGCAAAAGUAAAAAUCAGAACCAAACUUCCGACUGACUCGAAGCACACAAUGCCAGCAUUUCAUUACUCUAGGCAUUUUCAUUUGCUUUUGGAUUUUUUUCCACUUAUAUAUGGGAAAUAAAAUUAAUUUCAAUUUCACAGAAUUGAAAAUUCUUUUUAAGGCAGCUGUACUACUUAGUGCUCAGCUAACUCUGGGAAAGCUUCCCCUGACUUCAUAGAAGCAGACAAUAUGAUUUAAAACAGGGGCCAGAUACUUUUUGGUGGUUGCAGACAGGGGAGCAGAAUGGACAUUUCCGGUAACAUAUGCAAGGGCUGAUUGACCAAAACACGAAGCUUUCCUUCUCUCUGUUUUUCUUUUCUUUUAUUUUUGUGUGUGUGUGUGUGUGUGUGUGUGUGUGUGUGUGUGUGUGUGUGUGUGUGUGUGUGUGUGAAAACUAACCAAUAAGUUGCUUUGCAAAAACAGUUUUGAUCUAACUAAAAUGGGGAAAGAAAUUAUAUACAUUCUUUGGGGAAGUGUUAAUAUGUAACAUGCCUUAUAGCUUCCCUAGAACUGUGGAAAGGAAGGAGUAUUCUUGCAAUAACAUUUUGGGAUUAACUGAACUACUUUGCCCAAGGCAUGAUUUAAGUUACUUUCUUAUUUAACACAAUUUGUGUUUUUGUUUGCAUAAGAAAUCCUGCUCUGCAACUAUUUCUAGUGAAAUACCACUGAAGCCAGUGAGCUUACACCAAAGAUGAAUUUGCUCUCCUCCCAUUUUCCUCACUUUAUUUAUUUGCCUUGGAAACCAGAAUUACCCACAAUUAGUUAUCUAUCAGUUCUAAAAAUCUGGCAGCACUUUGGAAAAGCAUUAGAAGCUGAUCACAAGACUUCCUGCUCAUGUUUAUACCUGUCAACCCAAAGCAGUGCAAGAGCCAUGAUUGUUUCAAUUGAUACUUGCAGGUAAAAUGAGCUGCCCUGUAAACCAGCUGAAUUAAAACUAAGAAGUAGCAUUUGCAUAUUAAUACCUAAUUUCUCCACUCGAAUUCAUGCAGUGGAACUGCCAUUAACUCAUAAUCCAGAUACUGAAGUGCUUCUGGUAAUAAAGAGACUUUGCACCCUGCGUUUGGCUUCAGCGGGAACAGCUUGGGGCUUUCAGAAGCUAAGGCGUUUGCCCUAUGUUGUGGCAACUUCUGUUUUUCUAUCUAAAACAAAGGGAUAUUUUUUAAUGAGGGAAAAAGAAAGGAUAUUGGUCUACCAGUAAGUCUGGAGACCUAUCAUCAGCCUGUUCAGUAUUGCUAAGAUGCUGUUAUACUCAUCUGUCAUCAAAUCUAAGGAUAUUUUAAGAUAUGUUUAAUCUACUGGAGGAAAGGGACCUACCCUGUAAAAUCAAAUCAGUAUUCUGUAUAACACUGAUUUUCAAAUUAUAGCUGAUAAAGAUACAGUUGUAAAUUAUUUUUAAAUACUUAGUUGUAUUUAUGUUUGUACUUCUAAUAACAAAUUUUCACAUUUUGAUGUCUUCUGGCCAGCUGUGUUUAAACUGAAUCCACAGGGAGUUAGGACUCUUCACAGCAGUCCUGACCUAAAAUCAAAUUUCAGUCUUACUGACAACAGUAUAAAUCAAAGUAACUUCAGUGAGGCCAAGGGAGUUACUCUGGAUUUACACCCCUCAGUGUAACAAAUAUAAAAAGUGAAUUAGUUCCAAUUAGGACACUGUUCAAUUAUUUUCUCUCUGAGAACAUGAUGGAAAUGUUUUUCUCAUUUGUAAUAAAAAUCAUUCUACUGUUUGUACAUCUUCAGUAAAGUGUGCAUUCAAUUUUGAACAGAAAUCCAGUUUUUUAUGAAAAUGGAAUUUUUAGAUUUUUACGAAGAAUUCCAUUUACAUGAAAGCUCUUUUCUUUAGAAAAACUGUUGUGAGGGAAACUUUCUGACCUGCUCUAAGCCUGACUCAUAAUUCAUACAAAUAAGACACUGCUCAGCAGAUGUUCAGGAAGAAGCAGGCCAGUAAGAAACCUAAAUGACACAGGCAUUCCCAUGUGGUUACGCUUGAGGUUCCUGGUGCUAAAAACAGGAAGGAUGGGCCAGUCGCUAAGAUAGUGUGUGAGCCAUGAGAGUA